rnacentral:rRNA from 1 species
AUGGCGACCAGUUCUUUGAAUGACAAUGAACUUGAAGAAUGUUGCCCAAAAUUUGCAGAAACUUUCUCUCUUAAUGGUUCAUCUGAUGUUGAGGUAUACGAUCUUAUUUCUGAAUUGAAGAUUAUGAGAUUCACUUUGCCAGAUGGGGUAAUGUCUGCUAUGGAGAUUUUCGGGUGUGUCAAAGAAGUUCAUUGUUAUCCUAAUAUCUCCAUUGCCUAUCGCAUCUUGUUUACUAUGCCUGUGACGGUCGCAUCGGCUGAAAGAAGCUUUUCAAAUUUGAAAUUAUUGAAGAAUUAUUUGAGGUCACCAAUAACUCAAGAUAAGUUAAAUGGUUUGGCUACAUUAUGCAUCGAGGAGAAAUUGUUGGAUGAGAUUGGCAUCGACCCCAUCAUAAGUGACUUUGCAUCGAGGAAUGUUAGAAGAAAAUUUUAA